GAAGCCCCAGUAAACGGCGGCCGUAACUAUAACGGUCCUAAGGUAGCGAAAUUCCUUGUCGGGUAAGUUCCGACCUGCACGAAUGGCAUAAUGAUGGCCAGGCUGUCUCCACCCGAGACUCAGUGAAAUUGAAAUCGCCGUGAAGAUGCGGUGUACCCGCGGCUAGACGGAAAGACCCCGUGAACCUUUACUAUAGCUUGACACUGAACAUUGAAUUUUGAUGUGUAGGAUAGGUGGGAGACUU
rnacentral:rRNA from 1 species